UCCUUGGUGGCUCAGAGGUUAAACCAUCUGCCCGCAAUGCAGGAGACCUGGGUUCGAUCCCUGGCUCGGGAA
rfam:TPA: Bos taurus chromosome 14, whole genome shotgun sequence.